rnacentral:rRNA from 1 species
GACGAACGCUGGCGGCGUGCUUAACACGUGCAAGUCGAACGGAAAGGCCCUGCUUUUGUGGGGUGCUCGAGUGGCGAACGGGUGAGUAACACGUGAGUAACCUGCCCUUGACUUUGGGAUAACUUCAGGAAACUGGGGCUAAUACCGGAUAGGAGCUCCUGCUGCAUGGUGGGGGUUGGAAAGUUUCGGCGGUUGGGGAUGGACUCGCGGCUUAUCAGCUUGUUGGUGGGGUAGUGGCUUACCAAGGCUUUGACGGGUAGCCGGCCUGAGAGGGUGACCGGCCACAUUGGGACUGAGAUACGGCCCAGACUCCUACGGGAGGCAGCAGUGGGGAAUAUUGCACAAUGGGCGGAAGCCUGAUGCAGCAACGCCGCGUGCGGGAUGACGGCCUUCGGGUUGUAAACCGCUUUCGCCUGUGACGAAGCGUGAGUGACGGUAAUGGGUAAAGAAGCACCGGCUAACUACGUGCCAGCAGCCGCGGUGAUACGUAGGGUGCGAGCGUUGUCCGGAUUUAUUGGGCGUAAAGGGCUCGUAGGUGGUUGAUCGCGUCGGAAGUGUAAUCUUGGGGCUUAACCCUGAGCGUGCUUUCGAUACGGGUUGACUUGAGGAAGGUAGGGGAGAAUGGAAUUCCUGGUGGAGCGGUGGAAUGCGCAGAUAUCAGGAGGAACACCAGUGGCGAAGGCGGUUCUCUGGGCCUUUCCUGACGCUGAGGAGCGAAAGCGUGGGGAGCGAACAGGCUUAGAUACCCUGGUAGUCCACGCUGUAAACGGUGGGUACUAGGUGUGGGGUCCAUUCCACGGGUUCCGUGCCGUAGCUAACGCUUUAAGUACCCCGCCUGGGGAGUACGGCCGCAAGGCUAAAACUCAAAGGAAUUGACGGGGCCCCGCACAAGCGGCGGAGCAUGCGGAUUAAUUCGAUGCAACGCGUAGAACCUUACCUGGGUUUGACAUGGAUCGGGAGUGCUCAGAGAUGGGUGUGCCUCUUUUGGGGUCGGUUCACAGGUGGUGCAUGGCUGUCGUCAGCUCGUGUCGUGAGAUGUUGGGUUAAGUCCCGCAACGAGCGCAACCCUUGUCCACUGUUGCCAGCACGUUAUGGUGGGGACUCAGUGGAGACCGCCGGGGUCAACUCGGAGGAAGGUGGGGAUGACGUCAAGUCAUCAUGCCCCUUAUGUCCAGGGCUUCACGCAUGCUACAAUGGCUGGUACAGAGAGUGGCGAGCCUGUGAGGGUGAGCGAAUCUCGGAAAGCCGGUCUCAGUUCGGAUUGGGGUCUGCAACUCGACCUCAUGAAGUCGGAGUCGCUAGCAAUCGCAGAUCAGCAACGCUGCGGUGAAUACGUUCCCGGGGCU